rnacentral:sRNA from 1 species
GGAAGGUGUAACGCGGCGCCAUCAAA